GUAAACAAUAGCCAAGAAGACUGACAGACAAAGGAGAUUGUUCAUAGUCACAGCUCCAUAUAACUGCAAGAUAUCACCAAAUGUAUUAUUAGCCUUGGAAACUGAACAAAACAAACAAGGCCUACCUCGGAGUGAAGUUUAAAGUAGAACAAUAGCAUAUCCAACGUAGUACUACAAGUGUAGUCCGGGUAACGUGGUGUGUACAGUGUACCUAGCCUUACCCCUACCUUGUGAAGGUAGAGAGGUUUCCAAUAGACUCUCAGCUCAUGUAAAGCAUAUUAAAAUCAAGUACCGAAAGGAAAUGCAGUAGUGAAGAAGACAUGCUAAAAAACAAAAGGAGGAAAGAACAAUAGCAAUAACAAAUAAUACGCUAACUGAAGCUAAGGAAAGAACAUGUAAUAAUAAGAACGAAGAAUAAGAAAAUUAGGAGAGUAAUUAUUGCAUGAAAACUAGUGUAAUACCAAGUCCUGACAGAAAUUUACACAUGUAAUGGCUGUGAAAGCUUUAGAAUCUCUAGUUGAGGUUCUUGGUCUCUGCAUUUUACUAUUAUUUUCUUUUUCUUUUUUUUGUGAUGAAUGAGGUCUGUCUCUUUAUUUGCUUCAAGCUUCUAUAUACCAUUAAAUCUAGUGAAGUGUUGGUACAGCUAAAGUUGCGAACGACAAAGGAUUUUACAAGUUAAGUCUUCAGUUCAAGUCUAAAUCAUCGGUGAUUAUUAAGAAUUUGGUCGUUUAUAUUAACUAAUGCAAGUAUUGGAGGGAAAAUCAAUUAAAUUAUCAUACUAAAGGGGUGGAAGUCAAGCAAGAAAAACAAACCUCAGAAAAUGUUAAUGACGCAGAUCUCUUCUUUUUCCGGGUAGCAAAAAUUAUAGCCGACACUGCCUCACUGGAGUUUGUUGCCAGAGGCAGUGCAAUGAAUGAGAUGAAGAAAGAUGGAAUACUUGUGGCACUGGAGAAAUUAUUAAC
rnacentral:lncRNA from 1 species